rnacentral:lncRNA from 1 species
UGGUUCGGAUGCUGAUGUAAGUCCAGUGAUUGGCAUUCAGGCUCCAUGUUUGCCUGUGUGUUUGUUUGUUUGUUUGGCGUGCGUGAGCCGAACUACGGCAGCUCUGAUUCUCGUUCCAGACGAGAUACGUAGGCAUAGGAUGCGAUGUCCUAUCGAGCUCUCUUCCCCUUAACCCCACCUGUGUUGUCUUCGGUGCGUGUGUGUGUGGUGUUUUAGCAACCUUUU